ACUGGAGGUAGGUGACUUUUUGAUUAUUGCUUAGGGGAGGGGGAAGUGUCCUGAAGGUAUUAACAUUGUUCCCCUUUGAACCAGCUUCCAUCUUCCCAACCCUAUUCAACUUCUGUCUUCUGGACCCCCCCCCCGCCCCCCCGCCCCAUUCACCUAUCUACACUAACUGCCUGACCUUUGUUCUUGCUUCAAAAUGUGAGCAGAAUUGCCAUGAGUCCCUUCACAGGAAGAAGUGUUAAAGGCUGGUAAGUGACUGACCACACUCUUUCCCUUUGAUGUGGUGACUGGAAAAGUUCAAGUUAUCUGGCAGUUGUUCAUUAGCCUGGGUCUUUGAGUGAAGAUCCAGCUGAUUCACAAUGGGCUAGUGGGGUGAGUAGGAAACUAAUCUUUGUUGUAUUUAGCUAGAUCCAGAAGUUAGCUGUCUAUGGUGACUCAUGCCUGUCAUCCCAGAGGCUCUGGAGGCUGAGGCAGGAGGAUCAGAAGUUCAAAGCCAGCCUCAGCAAUUUAGUGAGGCUAAGCAAUUCAGCGAGACCUUGUCUCUAAAUAAAAUAUUACAAAAAGGGGCUGGGGGACGUGGCUCAGUGGUUAAGCGCUCCCAGGUUCAAUACCCAGUACCAAACAAACAAAAAAACAACACACACACACACACACACACAAAAUUCAGAAGUCGUUUGUUACUGCAGCACAAGCUGUCCUGUGCAGACAGACUAGAAAUUCCUUAAGCACUUAUGCUUAACUCACCUUUCCAUCUCCUGUAGAACACAGAACAAUACUUCAUGGAUGUUCAAUAAUUAUUGCCAAUUGGUGAUAUGAACUGAGAUAAGGCAAAAUAUAUUAGACUGGAGAGUGAAACUUGUUAUCAGUAAUUCAACUUAAGACUUCAGUGUCUGAAAAACCCAAAUAUAUGUGCAAGAUGAUUCCAAUAACAUUCUUAUAUAUAUGAGGAGGCAGAAUAGUGCAAUGAAAGAAACUUGGGCUUUUGAGCCAAAUACAUCUGGGUUCAGGUACAAUCUCUUCUUCUAUGUAUGUGGCUGCAUAGCCAUGGGCAAGUUAUUGAAGAUCUUUGGGUACUAGUUUCCUCAUCUGUAACAGGGAUAAUAUCACCAACUACCACACAGAAUUAUUGUGAGAUUAAUGAGAGAAUGUAUUUAAAGUCCUUGGCAUGUCAUGAAUGGUCAACAGUUACUCUCUUAGGUCUCUUCUCACCAGAUGUGUGUGGGUUGGUGUUAACUCUUGCUUAACUCUCUGGGAACUCCUUCCUUUCAUUUACUCCCUCUGAGAUCUCCAUUACUUGCCUAGUCCCUGGAUUUAUUUAACUCAGUCUUCCUGUUCCUUAAAGUUUUGCUUUUGCUGCCUUAUGCAUAUUCUGUUCAUCCAUAACUGGCUGGAGUUGGCAGGAGCCAUUGGCAAAGGUCUCCAGUUGGGAGGACAGUAAUUUUAAGACAGGCUCUCUGCGGCCAAUUUUUUUUUUUUUGUACUAUGGAUUGAACUCAGGGGCACUUGAACACUGAGCCACAUCCCCAGCCCAAUUUUUUUUUGUAUUAUUAUUAAGAGACAGGGUCUCACUGAGUUGCUUAGUGCCUUGCUAAUUUGCUGAGGUUGGCUUUGAACUCGUGAUCCUCCUGCCUCUGUCUCCUGAACUGCUGAGAUUACAGGCAUGCACCACUGUGCCUGGCUCUUCUGUCAAUUUUAAACAGGGUCCUCAGUGUGAGAGGCAGAGCCAGGAAAGUGAAGGGAGGUGGUCUCCAUAGGGAGGAAAGAAUUUAGAAUGUCAUGGUGUCCAGGGACAGGAGAGUCCUUACUUUGCCCAGGCCUUAGCUGUAACAGCAGAAAAUUGAUCACCCUCUUGAACGUGGGUCUCACUAGUGAUGGCAGCAUGGAAGUCUUUGCAGUUGUUUUCAAUGACUGACUCCUUUGGGUCACAAGUUGGGGCUUGGUAUGUUGUCCCAAAGGCUGUGCUUUUUGGCCCAGGGUGUGUUGUGUUUAUGGGUGGGUGUAUUGUCCCUGAGUCCUUGAGGCCAUCUCCCUCCCACCUCCCUGCGUAGCAGCAGCUGUGAUGUGGCAUGUCCAACCACCCCAAAGGUGCUUGUGUAACUUGUUUUUCGAAGCCUUGGCAGGAGUUCUAGUCCUGAAGUGAGAAAGGAUGUUUACAUUCUGGAAGAGCAGUCCUGAGAAAUGUCUUGCAUGGGGGCUGUUCCUGAUCAACCCCGUCCCCCAGCAUGCCUAGCACCUUAUUUUUCUCUGGGAUGGUUUAUCACAGCCAUAGCCAUCAUCUUGGACCUGGAAGAAACAAACUGAGCAUGAAAAGAAAACAGGCUGCGGGGAAGCAUUGGCCAACUGUCCCAAGUUUACUGCCCUGUAGAAACGGCCUUUGCUGCAAAGGCAAGUGAAAUUCUCUAGGUCAAGGCCUUUGCUGCCAUGGUGCCUUGUGCCUGGCACAGAGCAAGGUGUCAGAGGCAGAUGCUCAAUAGACAUUCGCUGAGAAAAUGAAUUGUGAAAAUCUGUGGGCGAUGGAACAUUUCAGAGGACUCGCAGGUGGAAGUUCUUAACUGACACCUGGUUAACAGCUUCCUCUGAUGGGUACCUACAUUAUUAAUAACAAUGGUUGCUAUUUAUUAGAUACCCAGUCUGUGCCAAGAAGAGGCAUAUUUUAUUUCCUUUAAUUCCACAGUAGGAACAGUUCUACAAAUAGGUAACCAGCUCCCUAAUUAAUAGCUGAGAGCACGCAUGCUCAUGGGCACAGUUUGAGGAACUCGCCUGAUGUCACAGAGAAAGAAAACCAGGAUCCAAAGCCACCAACAUAGAGCACUUUCUGUGGCUCCCUUGCUGCCCCUCACCCCUGCUGGUCUCCAUGUCCUGCAACAGGCCAGGGCAGGGUUACCUAUAAAAGGGGUUCAGGCCCAUCCCACUCUCCUGCUGUGGUAGUUCUACUACUUUUUUUUUUUUCAUUUUUUUUCCUCUUGCAAAUAAAUAGGCUUGAAUCCCAGCUGCAAGGACCACGCCAGAUGCCCGCUUUGUCAUUCUUUCAAUUGCUCACCUGGCUUCAAGACCUUCCCUGCUCAGUCUGGCCACCCUCCCCUCUCAGCCUUCCUCGGGUGGCCACACCCAGCUUUCUUUCUUCCUAUCCUAUUCAGUCCUCUGGCUUCAAGGCCAGGUUUUCAUUUCGCUAUAUAAACCUUGCUUCAGGUGUUAUUUUAUGGACAGGCUCUAGAGGAAAAAAAAAAAAAAGCAGUCAAUAAAUAUGUGUUGAAUUGUGUGCUAAACUCUAGACAAAGAAAGGAAAAUCUUUGGAUCGCGAAGACGACAGAAAGGCUGCGGGUGGGGGCGGGGCAACCAUGAAUUUGACUCUUCCUCCUGCUCUCGGGGUCCUCUUUGGAUGCCUCCCUCCCACCCUGGGCCGGCCAGGCCGCCACCGCGUGUUUAGCCUUAGUGCUGUCAUCUGAUUACGGUAACAUCCAAACAGAUUGAAGCCCCAAAUCAAUGCCAGAGCAGAAGUGCACGCGCGGGGGGGUGGUUUCCUUGGAAAUGCUUCAGUUAUAAUUAACCUCCAAAGAGAGCCAUCCAAACAAGUUCCUUGACCCUCUGGGGAGAAGAAGGAACAAUGGAACUGCAAGGGAAGCCAUUUCUGCCAGCCGCGGGGGCGUGUGUGCCCGCGCCGGGUCCCACCUUCGCAGCGCACUGUCCAUAGAUGGCCUCUGACAGUCCCAGUAUUCAAACGUCGGGGCCGGGGGUUGGCGGCUGCGGUGCCUGCUGCUGCCACGGCUGAGAUCAUGCCGUUGGUCUUGUUUUACCGAGAGCAGCCCAGCCUGUUGUGCCGAGUACAGAACGUUCUCUUCUGUGAACUGAGCUUGAACUCUUCCAACCCACUUUGUUUGAGGAACCACACAGACACAGAAGAAAACGACAGGGAAGAUAACCCCCCAAAUCCUUGAAAUCCUGGUGUUCGCUGCACUUUGGGUUUGGGCCAUUCGCUUUGCACGACUCAGAAUGAAAAAAAUCCCAAGCAUUACACUUCUUGGAAGAACAAAAUGCUUGUGAUGUCCUUCUUCUAAGACAGGACUUGGCAUCCACUUUGGAAAUUAACAAGUCUGUCACUGUCUUUCUUCAAUUUCUUUCUUUUUUUUUUCCCCUUAGGCAUUCAAGGAACAACAACAAAUAAAAGCUAUUUUCCUAUAAAGGAAAGAUAAGCCCCUGGCGCUAGUGACUUCUCUCUCACUUGUUGGAGCUGUCACAAUAUUAUAGUGUUUACCACUUUGCUGUUAUGACUGCAGAGAGAUGACUGUGAGGGUCAUUGGCCUCCAUAUAAAUGACCAACGAGAGAAGCUGCUAAUGUUUGGUUAAAUGGUUUGAAAUUUCUCUCCAAGUCAAGUAUGUGGUGCACACCCGUUAAUCCCAGUGACUCAGGAGGCUGAGGCAGGAGGACUGCAAGUAGAGGCCAGCCACAGCAACUUGGCAAGACCCUGUCUCAAGAAAAUAAAAGGGUUGGGGGGGUGAUGCUCACCCUCAGGUGAAAGAGCACCCUCAGGCUCAAUCCCCAGCAUUACAUAAG
rnacentral:lncRNA from 1 species